ACUACUUUACCCCACAUCACUUUUUUUUUUUAACCAACUCACAAAACAACAAAAAUAUAAAAAGGGGACCAGCACUAAGAGAAAGGAAAGAUUCCUUUUGGCUAUUUAUACAUACACAGAACACGCAUAUACCAUUGAUUUUUUUUCUCUCUCUCUUGGGUACACAAUACGGAUGGUCACUCUCCAUUUUUUCUUUGUCUACAGCUUCAUUCAGAUAAAGACAACGACGCCAACACCCAAACCCACAUAAGACCACCUCCAUUUUUUUUAAUUUCCAUGGUAGAACAACAAUAGAACUCCACCAUUGAUGCACACUCCAUUAACACAGACCACUUAAAGAGCAUCAUUUUCGUUUCUUUCUUUUCUUCACAAACACACUAUAUACACACUGAUUGAAAUUUGAAAACAUGAGUGAAAACAGUGAGAAAAGAAGAAAAAUGGGUGAGAUGAAGUGAGAAUCAAAAGGGGAAAAGAAUUCUUCAUGUGUUUAGUCACAGUUCCGGCGACUACUUCGCCGGAAUCUCUAGGUUUUCUCUCAAUCUUGGACGAAUCUAGUUGGGAACAGUCAGAAACAGCUAGUCUCGCUGGAACCAAUGGUUGUCCAGCGGUUUUAUGCCUCGUCGAUCCGGAAUCUGUCUUAAUCCAUUGUGUUUUUGCUUCCUUCUGAGCUCACCGGAGCUCAGGAUACGUCGGUUUUGGUCUUUUAUUGUGUUGACUGAGGCUUUGGAUCAUCUGUCUUAGCAUUUCAGUUUUGAAAUCGAGCUUUGGGUUCAUCGAUCUUCCUUCAUUGAAAUAGUUUCUGGGCAGAUGCUGUGUUGCUACUCUGUUCGAGGUUACAAUUUCCCAAAUACCGGGUUGGAGUUCGGUUCAUUGUCGAGGUUCUUGGCGCGGAUUCUCUUUUGUUUCAAUAGGAUAACAUUCAUAAAAGUAAAAUUUGAGAUUUGGGGUUAUCGGAUUUUUGGACUGUUUCUCGACUGAUUUGGAGAGUUGAGAUUUCAUUGUUAUUCUUCGAGGUUCUUGGACGGGCUCUUUUUUCUCUUGUUAAAAUCAAUCAAAAGCGACAUUUAGGUCCAAUUCUAUCUUAUCUCCCUUUAAAUUCUACGUGAAUAUGAAUGAUUUUUUGCUUGGCAUGUUCGGAUCUUUGUUUGUGUUGGUUGAUUUUGGAUUUGAAUGUGAAAAAUCGAAUUGGUAGUCGAAGAAUUAAAAUUGGUAAUUUGCGUAUUAACUUGGGGGUGGGAAUUUAAAAAUUGAUUUGGUGAAUGUCAAUUAUUUUUUGUUAAUUGUUGAACAUUAUAGUGUUAUGUGUUAGGCCGUUAAAUAAGUAGGCAAACGAUAGGUCGGGGUAGGCAAAUUUUAGGAACGAUAUUUGGUUGAAUGUAGGAAUGUGCAUGUGAAUAGUCUUUUACUUUAUCGCACAAGAUUUGAAGACGUAUUCAUUCCCCAGGGAAUGCCCCGAGGUCACAUUGUACUUAUUCACCGGGGAAUGCCCCGAGUAUUAUGUACUCGGAGAAUGUCCAUGACGAAGGCACGAGACGUCGGGUAAAACCUUGGAGCGUAGUUUAGAAUUAGUGUAGGUUUACUUUUCUGUCCUUUUUUUAUUUUAGGAUGUAGUAAUUGGACUGGACGCUAUAAUUUUGGAUUUGUUUUGUUUGUUUGUUUGUUUGAUUGAUCUGUAGCCGAUAUAUAAAUAUAAAGGAGGCUUAGAAGCAUGCUGAUGUGGCAUUCUUCUAAGGCCCCAUUCCUAUUUUUCUAUUUUCUUAUUUUUUUGGACAUUUUAUUGAUUUAUUAAAUCCAAAAAUUAUCUCAUUUAAUAAAUAAUGCAACUGUUGAUUUUAUGUAAAUUAAACACAUGCGGUUACUAUUUGUAGCUUGUCCGUUUCAAUUCCUUCCUUAUUCACGUCUUUUGAUAUUCCAUCAAGUGUUUCAUAUAAAUUUGAGCACAAUUGGCCAAGCAUCUUUUAUACAUUUUUCAUGAAGAUUGAGUGAAUCUUGAGUUUUUUUUUAAAAAAAAAUAUUGAGUUCUAAGUUUCUUCUAAUAUUUUUUAUUUUUUUUAUGUUACAGCUGUGUGCUCCAACACCUUGCAUAUAAAUUUUGGUCAGGAUGAUUAGAAUGUCACUAUCAUAAGAAAUUUUCAAAGAUAAUAAAUAUAUUCCUUUUUUAGUGUUUAUGAUUUAAAGUUUAUAAGAAAAAUUUAUUACACACAUAAAAUUUUAAUAUAUAUUUCUUUCUAUAUUGUCAUCAGAUAAUUUAAUGACCAAGGAGAAAAAUGCUUUUGCUAGAAGACUUCAGGUACGUAGUUAUUAAACAAGUGAUUUGUUUUUUUCAUGAAAUUUUAAAAUUUAUAGAAUAUAGUAGAGAAAUUCGUGAAAUUGAAUAUAAUAAUCAAUUAAUCUGAAUUUAUUAAAUUGAUAACAAAUUUUUUUUCUCAAAACUAAAUAUACGAGCUGAAAAUCCGAGGAAAAAAUCAUUCUGAGAGAUGCAUGCAACUUGAACAAGAAGCAUGGAUAGAAUUCUAGUAACUAAUACCUCCCUCUCUUCCUCUUAUAUUGGUUUUUUAUAUAACAACUGUAACUUUAGAAGUUAAUAGUAAUUAUAUGUGAAAUAAAGGUAUAAUAUGUGGUUGAACAAAUUUAGUGUUAUAAAAUAAACCAUAAGAUUUGAAGUUGAAAGGAACUUUAGAAUACUUGAGUGAUUUACUAACGUUGUUCUUAAAAGCUAUGGAUGGAGGAUGGAAGAAAGAAAAAGUACAUUAAAGUAUGAUUAUGAUUUUGUUUAAAAACACCCAAUUGAGAUUUAAAAACUACCUAUCUACACACACAUAUAUGCUCUAUCUAAAGUAUGAAAUCAUAUUUAUCUUUUUUGUGAUUUUUUUUUAAUUUCUUUAUCUUUAUAUUAUUAUUUGUACUAGCUAAUGAAUAAAGCAUGAUAAAAUCCCAACUAAAUGUAUUCCAACAAUCAAAAUGUUGUAAAGCUUAGCUUGAAUGAUCCCCACCUAACAGGCUAACAAUCCACGUUUCAUAAUUUUAUUCCUUUUCAGGUGCUACAACUUUCCUAAUUAAUUAUUUCUAAUAAAGGCUUAUUAUUUUUUUGCAAAAAACAAAUGAAAUAAUUCUCUUUUAAUUAAAGAGGCCAUCAAAUCUUAUGGUAGUCUAUUCAACUGAUGUGGUCUCUUCAGAUGCAUCUGUCGCAGUCUGUAAUCUAUAUAUAUUAAUCGUGUAUCAUUAUUUUUUUUUUCAUACCGAAGACUCUUUGGCAAAAUUAUAUUUUGGUUGAUUUCAAGUUCUUUAACUUGUGUUUGGUGAAUUUGAGUUUCAGACAAGAACUAGUGAAUUUUUUUUCGCAUUCUCUGCUCUUCUUCGUUCCUUCAUUCUUUAUUUACUUAUAUGGUCUCCUCUGAAUGAUGAAGGCUAAUUUUAAAAUAGUCAAAGUAACAGAUUUUUAUUAUUGAAAUCUAGCGGAGAUGAUGGAAUGGUAGUGAAAUCAGAAUUUUGUUAAAGAAAUUUAAGAUAUAUCAUAUUUAUUUAUUUAAUUAUAUUUCAUAGGUUGCAAAAAAUCUCCAUCUAUUUAUAUUCUCCAUUUUAAAAUAUAUCUCUUGAACUUCCUUCUUUAUGGCUCACCAAAUCUAUAAAUAGUAAUCAUGAAUUGUCUAUAUGUAUGCUGUUAUUUAUCAAGUAUUUUAUUAAUAUUACUGGUUUACGCAAUACCUGAUUAUUUUGGUUUAUUGUUAAUCUAAUUUAGUUUCAUUGAAUUCAUUCUUGUCCUCUAACCAUUUUUAUUUGUUGGUUGCUAUAGUUGAAAUUCAAAAG
rnacentral:lncRNA from 1 species